CAGUCGCCGCGGGAAUACGGAGGGUGCAAGCGUUAAUCGGAAUUACUGGGCGUAAAGCGUGCGCAGGCGGUCCGCUAAGACAGAUGUGAAAUCCCCGGGCUUAACCUGGGAACUGCAUUUGUGACUGGCGGGCUAGAGUAUGGCAGAGGGGGGUAGAAUUCCACGCGUAGCAGUGAAAUGCGUAGAGAUGUGGAGGAAUACCGAUGGCGAAGGCAGCCCCCUGGGCCAAUACUGACGCUCAUGCACGAAAGCGUGGGGAGCAAACAGGAUUAGAUACCCCUGUAGUCCCUGUCUCUUAUAC
rnacentral:rRNA from 1 species